CAAUAGCGUAUAUUAAAGUUGUUGCGGUUAAAAAGCUCGUAGUUGGAUUCAGGGCUCGCGGCGCGCCCAUUCGCCUAACGGCGGUCUCGGGCGCGUACCCGCUUGCCGAUAGCCGGUUUUCCACCGGGGGUGCUCUUCGCUGGGUCGCCCUCGGCGGCCGGCAAGUUUACUUUGAGAAAAUUAGAGUGUUCAAAGCAGGCCGCUAACGCCUGAACGGUGGUGCAUGGAAUAAUGGAAUAGGAUCUCGGUUCUAUUUUGUUGGCUUUUAGAAAUUCCGAGGUAAUGAUUAAGCGGGACAGACGGGGGCAUUCGUAUUACGGUGCGAGAGGUGAAAUUCUUAGACCAUCGUAAGACGACCUACUGCGAAAGCAUUUGCCAAGGAUGUUUUCAUUAAUCAAGAGCGAAAGUCAGAGGUUCGAAGACGAUCAGAUACCGUCCUAGUUCUGACCAUAAACGAUGUCGACUAGCGGUGCGCCGGCGUCUUUUUCACUUGACCCGGCGUGCAGCUGCUCUCGGGAAACCAAAGUCUUUGGAUUCCGGGGGAAGUAUGGUUGCAAAGCUGAAACUUAAAGGAAUUGACGGAAGGGCACCACCAGAUGUGGAGCCUGCGGCUUAAUUUGACUCAACGCGGGGAACCUUACUAGGUCCGGACAUUUGUAAGGAUUGACAGUCUGAUAGCUCUUUCUUGAUUCAAUGGGUGGUGGUGCAUGGCCGUUCUUAGUUCGUGGAGCGAUCUGUCUGGUUAAUUCCGAUAACGAACGAGACUCAAACCUACUAAUCAAGCUAGCUGGUCACUAGCGGCCAGAGUCUAUGUAGCUUCUUAGAGGAACGGGCGGCGUCUAGCCGCACUAAGUGGAGCAAUAACAGGUCUGUGAUGCCCUUAGAUGUCCUGGACUGCACGCGCGCUACAAUGACGGAAUCAGCGGGAGGACCUUGUCCGAGAGGACCGGGUAAACCGAUGAACCUCCUGCGUGGUUGGGACUGAGGCGUGCAAUUCUCCUCACGAACGAGGAAUAUCCAGUAAGCGCGGGUCAUAAGCCGGCGUUGAUUACGUCCCUGCCCUUUGUACACACCGCCCGUCGCUACUACCGAUUGAGUGGCUCAGUGAGGCUCUCGGAUCGGUGUCGGCCCCGUCGGCCUAGUUGCUCGAUCGGGGCCAGCGACACUGAAAAGAAAGCCGAACUGAGUCGCUUAGAGGAAGUAAAA
rnacentral:rRNA from 1 species